AAAUUGAAGAGUUUGAUCAUGGCUCAGAUUGAACGCUGGCGGCAGGCCUAACACAUGCAAGUCGAACGGUAACAGGAAGCAGCUUGCUGCUUCGCUGACGAGUGGCGGACGGGUGAGUAAUGUCUGGGAAGCUGCCUGAUGGAGGGGGAUAACUACUGGAAACGGUGGCUAAUACCGCAUAACGUCGCAAGACCAAAGAGGGGGACCUUCGGGCCUCUUGCCAUCAGAUGUGCCCAGAUGGGAUUAGCUAG
rnacentral:rRNA from 1 species